AGUCCAGGACGGAACCGGUCCUAUUGAUCAUAGUAAACUAAAAGUUUGACUACACUUUGCUCGAUUCGACUAUAUUCAUUUUGCAAUCGAAUAUGAAGAAGCACAGAAUGACAGUUCUGCCCUUCUGCAAGCUUACCGACAAUCGACGUCAUUGUCUUUACUUUCGGGAAAUGAAUUCAAAUCUAUGACAUUUUGAAGUGCGGUCGUCACUCUUUACUGGCAUCGGCCAAGUCGCCUUUCCGAUGUUUCAUGUGUCCGAUAUUUGAUGUUUCCACGAAUUGAUGUUCUACGAAUCUGCUCUUCCGCUGCCGCGGUAAACGUUGGUGGUACCCGCUGGGGGGCACACUUAUGGGCACCAAAAUAAAGGUUAGAAGGAUAUGAUGUCUGAGGGCACUUUUGGUAGGGAAUCCCCAUGAUUACCUCACCCAUUAAAGGGCCCCGCCAUAAUCAAAAGUCUUGAUUUUUGCCCGUUAUCUGGACCCAUCCGGGAAGAAUCACGGCCGACGUUCACAGAUUGAAUGAUUCCCAUCCCCCUUGGCGAAUAUAAAAAUAACAGAUGGCCCUGAUCGUGCCAUCAACGUCCAAGCCCUGACAGCCGACACACGGCCAGUGGGUCCCACCGCGAAUCGACCUUCCAUCUUGCAUUGGAGCUAAAUUAGCUGAUAAAGCUCCUGUUGCAGUUGCAGACCUCACCAUACUUGUGUAUGUCUUUGAAGGCAAGUCUUUCAGCCGUUGGGGCUGUAGCCAGUGCCAGUGACACCCUCUUUCCAAUAUAUAUCUUGCAAGAAUCCACACCCCACUGUGCCUCUCACGGCCCAAGAGCAAGAGAACAACAAAAGUUCCAGUUUUGGGUUAAAUUUUUGGUGGAAAAGUAUUGGGAAGUGGCCACUAAUAUGAGUUAGUUGAUGGGUCUCUUUCGUAUUUGCGAUUUGGUUACUUUCAGAGAGGUUGGUGAUGAACUUGUUAUCUUGGCUCAUUUCCCCGUUUACAAUAAUCUCAGAAUUCUUUGCUUGUCUCUGUCUCUGUCUGACCCCAAUUUGCUGUCGAAUGACUCUUGCUGUACUUUCCACACCGGGCUUCCUCCUAUUAUCCUAUAUAUCCCAAAAGAUGACCCGGAAAAUAAACGAUUAUGAUAAAAUGUCCAAAUCUAUCAUCUUGUGGGUGUUUGAUUGCUCUUAACUCCAAUCCCACUUGAGAGUUGGGCACAGAAGACUUAAGGCCUCUGUGGGAUGCGCUUUGCCAUUAGUCAAUAUACCAGUCGGGUAAGCUCAAAUUGUUUCUUUCUGCUGAUGCUGCUUUCUCUGUAGAGUUUUGGUUGGAACAAUUCUGUCUUCAAGAUAAUGCAGGCAGCAUCAUUGAAUAGAGAUGUCCGUUUGAGGAGCCCUUCCUUUUCGUUUCAUUCAUUGCCGUUGUUUUCAGUUGGGGGUUGGAGUCAGAAGAGCUUAGGAGAGGACCUGUUCCCAGCUGACGGAGAGUCAUAAUUAUCCAAUAUGUCAUUCCAUAAGUAGCUUGAUGAUGAAAGGUCACAUUGGCUCAUUUCAUUGGACAUUUGCAUUUAAGUCCUGUAGCGUCAUGGAUUCUUAUUUAUGCAAUGGAUUAUUUCAGACUGUUGCUGUCAGCUGUGGAUGAAUAUAUAGCGUUGUACAUCAUGUGCUUUGCUCAAGCGCCUUAGUUUGAGCUGUAGAUAAUGAAAUAGAAGCUUGAAGUGUUUGUUGGCCAACUCUGCAUUUGGCAGUCCUACCUAUAAAGAUUACUAUUGUUGUUUCUGCAAUUCCAUUUUGACCUUAGGGCAUCAGUAGAAGUUCAGAUCUCCUACCAAGAAUCCUAGUCUAUAAGAAACUCCUAGAAUGGUGCCUUCAUCUCAUCUGGUUUAAACCGUGAUUAUUUAGUCCACUGAUAUCCAACUGAUUUUGCACCAUUUGUUUUCUUUCAUUUUUUAGCAAUUGAAGAUGGGGAUGGUGACUUUGGUUGGGCGCACUCUAUCUUGAGCUUUUGAAGGGAAUCCAUAACUUAUUCCCAAAUUCUGCUUUUAUACAGGUUGAUGCUUCAAUGGAGCUUAACAAAUAGUAACAGAUGAAGCUUCAACUGGAAGUGACCUUCGUUCUUCUCGUCGGCCUGAUCUGGGUUUAUCCUAUUUUCGGUGGUGAAAUUUCUAAUACGUCAGCAACGAUCAAAUGGACAUGUCUGUGUUCUUUAAACCGAGGGAACCAGAGUAGUGUCCUCCAAUCAAAUUGUUCCACUUCAUGCAACUGCAGUGCAGUUGGAGGAGAUAAUGGAGAUUGGUGGAGCUGUACAUGUGAUGAUGAUGGAUUUCCCAAAAUAGCAUCUCAAAAUCAAGAUACUACUUGCUUUUCAGCAUGCAACUGCACUUCCGGAACUCUGAAUAAUGUUCCAGUCCCAGGAAAGCGCCAUUCGAGCAAAGUUGUCGUGGUUACGCUGCUAAUUUGUGUCAUACUCACGACAAUUGCAUUUCUGUCCUCAAUUAUGUGCUAUUUAUACCGCAAGGAGAGAUGCUCAAUCGAGACACCAGUUUUCUCAUCAGAGAAUGAAACAAGUUGUAACAGUGCCACUAACUUAAUCAACAAGGUGACUUCGUCCGUCCCCCAGACAAAAGUCAACAUCUCUUCCCCCGUCCAUCCUCUCGCAGGGUGCUUUCACAAUACUCGUUUUCUAUUCAAAGGCAAAUUAGAAAGAGAAACUAUACAUGGGACCAUAUGCCAAUUUCCUUAUAUUGAAUUGGAAUAUGCAACCAAUAACUUCUCCAAUUCAAAUCUCAUCGGACUUGGGGGAAGCAGCUACGUCUAUCGCGGACAGCUCAAGAAUGGUAGAGUCGUAGCCAUUAAGCGGCUCAAAGAUCAUGGAGGUCCUGAUGACUCUGUGUUCUCAACAGAGGUAGAUUUAUUGGCAAGAUUAAACCAUUGCCAUGUGGUGCCCCUGGUCGGUUACUGCUCAGAAUUUCAAGGGAAGCAUGUUGAGAGGCUACUCGUAUUUGAAUAUAUCCCCAAUGGUAAUCUGAGAGAUUGUCUUGACGGUGAUCUGGGGGAGAGUAUGAACUGGGAAACUCGUGUCGCAAUUGCAAUUGGAGCUGCAAGGGGGUUGGAGUAUCUCCACGAGGCAGCUGCUCCAAGAAUUUUGCAUAGAGAUGUCAAGUCCACAAACAUUCUCCUCGAUGAGAAUUGGAGAGCAAAAAUUACUGAUUUGGGGAUGGCCAAAUAUUUAAAACCCGACGGCCCCGCAAGUUGUUCCAGCUCUCCCGCAAGAAUGCAGGGGACUUUUGGCUAUUUUGCCCCCGAGUAUGCGAUUAUUGGAAGAGCCUCUCUUAAAUCGGAUGUUUUCAGUUUCGGGGUAGUCCUUCUUGAGCUUAUCACGGGUCGCCAGCCCAUCCACAAAUCUACCAACAAGGGAGUAGAAAGUCUCGUGAUCUGGGCUACACCACGCUUGCAAGAUAGUAGACGAGUGAUCUCAGAGUUACCCGACCCACGACUAAAAGGAAACUUCCCUGAAGAAGAGAUGCAGAUAAUGGCUUACCUAGCAAAGGAAUGCCUGUUAUUGGACCCUGAUUCCCGACCCACCAUGAGUGAGGUGGUUCAGAUCCUUUCAGCUAUUGCACCUGAUAAAUCUAGAACGAGAAACAUUCAUGCUGAUCUCUUUCAGCUGUCUUCAUCUAACAUAUCAAGAGCUGAGACGAACUCAAGUAUCCUCGAGAAUCAAGUUCAGAGUCCAGUGGAUGCACAGCAUCUCUGGAAAGUUGGGUCCCAGAGAUGGUCGCCGCCAUCUUCCCUCACGGUGGACAUCGAUCAGACUCUCACAACCGAAAUCAGUGAAAAAUCACAAACUGAUGAUCUAUCCUCCGACUACAUGGAGCGACUGAUCCUCCUCUCGUCGAAAGCCAGGAGUUGGAGUGCCCAGGACGAUGAGACGGUCGACUUAGUCGAGCCCCGACUCGAGUCCUUCUCCAUGGCAAAUUUGAAAUCCCCCUGAUCAGAGCAAGCCCUAUUCAACGGUCACACAGGGGGUGGUUGCAUCAGCAAAGAUCUUGAAACCUUGUUAUCCUUUUGACUGGUAGAUGGAAGAAAGAUGAAGGCAACGACCAUAUGAAAGAUUGUUUGGUCCUUCCUUUCCUUUGCUUGUAUAAACCCAUCCCACCCAUAACAGCUAAGGAUUCUUCUAGGAGCAGCUGCCUCUGACCUCAAAACUUUGUCAGGCUCCCGUCUUGUCUGUUCGGCUCGGGUCAGGAAUGGAUCCUCCACCCCCAAGCGACCCGCUUCUGCCUCCGGGUCCGUCUCGGGGCGGAUGGCUGGAUUGCUGCUUGUGGUUUCUGUGCUGCUGCGGUCUCUUCAGGAGCUGCUGCCCCCCACUGUUUGAGGCCGGGCCACCCCCGCCAUAGCGUUAUUUUCUUCCUUUAAUCUCUGCUCUAAAGGGAUCAAGAUGCCUUUGUUAUCUGAUGGAAAGAAACACUGGCUUUGGGUGUGGGCGAUGUUGUGGGAGCGGAUGCUGAUCGAAACAAUUGCUUCAUCAAUCGUUUGGCACGACAUGAUUCUGCAUCUGUUUCCUUCUAGUGAUUCUUCAUGGUUUGUUCCUCCUCAGUGUUGUAAUCCCUUUUGCUAUAUUUUCUUUGUUUGAUGUGUGCAUCUGUAAAUGUUCAAAGAAGCAACAAGAAACACUUUCAGAUGGAGAAUGCCCCGAGCCAAGGUUCAGAGUCCGCGUCAAUUAGCUGUAGAUUGUACAAUACAGUGCAUCGACCGCUCAUUGCAUUGUCGUUCGACAUGGGACAAUUUGUUGAUUGAAAAGAUUAAACCGUCUUUUAUAAAUUUGCAAUUUAAUCAAGGAUUGAUUUGA